AGUUGGAUUGGAGUGGGGAGCACUAGAAUCUCCAAGGUGAUCAUAUAUUCAAGUGAAGGAGACUUGAGGAAAAGUUUUUCGACGAAACGGGAAGUGAGAUUGGAAAGGCUUAAGGAGAGUGAAAGGUACUGACGACAGGUUCGCUGAUCCACACGUUUAGGAUCCUAUUUCUGCUAUUUGGGGCGCUCUCUUCUACAGAGCCCAUCUUUUGGUACAGUCUGUCACUGCUAUCUGGAUAUGUACUUUGUUCAGGGUAUGACGGGGCCCUGUCCCGUCUUAUGAUUAUGAUAUGUUCUGUAGAGGUCUGUGGAUACAUCUGUGUGGGUUCUGUACAUAUGUUUGGGAUAUUCUGUUCUGUGAUGGCCUUAUCGGCCUAUGUGUGCCAAG